AUACGGAGGUUGCAAGCGUUAAUCGGAAUUACUGGGCGUAAAGCGUACGUAGGCGGUCCGUUAAGUUAGAUGUGAAAGCCCCGGGCUUAACCUGGGAACUGCAUUUAAAACUGGCGAACUAGAGUUGAGUAGAGGGGAGUGGAAUUUCAGGUGUAGCGGUGAAAUGCGUAGAGAUCUGAAGGAACACCAGUGGCGAAGGCGACUCCUGGACUCGAACUGACGCUGAGGUACGAAAGCGUGGGUAGCAAACGGGAUUAGAAACCCCAGUAGUCC
rnacentral:rRNA from 1 species